UACAGAGGGUGCGAGCGUUAAUCGGAAUUACUGGGCGUAAAGAGCUCGUAGGCGGCUCAGUAAGUCGGAUGUGAAAACUCAGGGCUCAACCCUGAGACGCCAUCCGAUACUGCUGUGGCUUGAAUCUGGUAGGGGAGCACGGAAUUCCUGGUGUAGCGGUGAAAUGCGCAGAUAUCAGGAGGAACACCGGCGGCGAAGGCGGUGCUCUGGGCCAGUAUUGACGCUGAGGAGCGAAAGCGUGGGUAGCAAACAGG
rnacentral:rRNA from 1 species